GAUGAAGAACGUAGCGAAAUGCGAUAAGUAAUGUGAAUUGCAGAAUUCAGUGAAUCAUCGAAUCUUUGAACGCACAUUGCGCCCCUUGGUAUUCCGAGGGGCAUGCCUGUUCGAGCGUCAUUUCAACCCUCAAGCACAGCUUGGUCUUGGGCUUCGCCGCUAACCCGGCGGGUCUUAAAAUCAGUGGCGGUGCCGUCGGGCCCUGAGCGCAGUAAUCUCUCUCGAUAUAGGGUCCCGGCGGAUGCUGGCCAGUAACCCCCAAUUUUCUAUGGUUGACCUCGGAUCAGGUAGGGAUACCCGCUGAACUUAAGCAUAUCAAUAAGCGGAGGA
rnacentral:misc_RNA from 1 species